rnacentral:rRNA from 1 species
AGUGAACGCUGGCGGUAGGCCUAACACAUGCAAGUCGAACGGCAGCACAGUAAGGGCUUGCUCUUACGGGUGGCGAGUGGCGGACGGGUGAGGAAUACAUCGGAAUCUACUUUUUCGUGGGGGAUAACGUAGGAAACUUACGCUAAUACCGCAUACGACCUACGGGCGAAAGCAGGGGAUCUUCGGACCUUGCGCGAUUGAAUGAGCCGAUGUCGGAUUAGCUAGUUGGCGGGGUAAAGGCCCACCAAGGCGACGAUCCGUAGCUGGUCUGAGAGGAUGAUCAGCCACACUGGAACUGAGACACGGUCCAGACUCCUACGGGAGGCAGCAGUGGGGAAUAUUGGACAAUGGGCGCAAGCCUGAUCCAGCCAUACCGCGUGGGUGAAGAAGGCCUUCGGGUUGUAAAGCCCUUUUGUUGGGAAAGAAAAGCAGCAGGUUAAUACCCCGCUGUUCUGACGGUACCCAAAGAAUAAGCACCGGCUAACUUCGUG